rnacentral:lncRNA from 1 species
CACCACGCUAUGGACCACACUACUCAUUCCAGAGACUGGCAGCUGUUUGAGCCACCAGAAGUAAGACCAGGGGGUGGUCAAAGACAGGAGGAUGGAAAAACAAUGGACAUAUGAUUGAAUAGCAAACUUAAAAUAAUAGUAACAGAGUUUGAAAUGGAAGUCCUCCUCUUAUCAUUAAGACUCUUAUAUUUUUCUCUUUAGUUGGUCAAAGUGAGUGAAUUUGAGAAAAUACCAUGUAGAUUAAGCAGGAUAAUGCAAACUGAAGACAGAUUACGACAAAUGACAAGAGGUGCCAAAGUGUUUGGAUUUCCAUUACUUGGAUUCAAGAAGGGCAUGGUGAUGCACACCUGUGAUCCUAGCUACUUGGGAAAUUGAGGCAGGAGAGCGCUUGAGUUCUGGAGUUCAGGACAAGCCUGGGCAACAGAGUCAGACCCAGUCUCUUAAACAAAAACAAAACAAAAAGACAAAAUGAAGACUUGGACUCAAUUCUAUGUCUUAGGGGGAAAAGGAGAGAGAGGAACAUAAUGUAAAUGGGGUAGAUGAUUCCACUUGCCUUUGCACCUGCUGAAUGAGCAAGAGAUGAGAGAUGGAAACCCCAGGAGUCCUCUGGUGGUCUCAGUUCUUAUGUGCUUCCCAUCUGAGCAUCUCUCUGCAGCAUGGGUGAUUCAAAUGUUUAAUGAGACAAUUUUCAUACGACAUGGCCACUAAAAGCAAGCUGACAACUUCAUCUGAUGCUCAAUCAGAAAAAGAACUGGGGGAAAUGGAAUUAUAAGCCUUCCUAAUGGAUUUUUUCCCCAAGAGUAAUUUUGGCUUUGUAUGAUUUUUGCCUCCACUGCUGACCCUGGAACUCAAUUUCCACAAAAGACGUAACUUCACUGGAAUACCCAGCCCAUGGUUGGCACUAGACAAAUAUUGGUUAAAUAAGCGAAUAUGUGGAUAUUUGAACAAAGUGGUAGGGGACCCUGUUUCUAGAAUAUUCAAUGGCUUUGCUAAAAUGCCUUUGAGGAUUUCCCUGGCUAUCAUAUGUUUAUAUGUAUCCUUCCACUUUCAUAAAUACUUAUAGUUAUCACCCAAGCUGAGUAUUAAAGGCUGACCUUUGUAAAUAUUUAAGUAUUUGAAUUAUAAUACUGAGUGGUCUGUUUUGUAGUUGCUCAUCUUUGGGUUUAAAAUAAAAUUUAAUCAGUCACUGAAAUGAAUAAAUUCAAGAGCAGUUGUUAAACACAUAUAUUUUAGAAAUGGUCUACAUAGAAAUUCAGUAUGUGAGGUAGAAAGAGCACUAGAAUGGGAGCCAUUCCAAGCUCCCUGUUGAACCUUCAAGUUGAUUGACCUUGGGAAAGAUGUAGCCCUUCUACCCUCACUUUUCUCUUCUGUAAAGUGAG